AUACGGAGGAUCCGAGCGUUAUCCGGAUUUAUUGGGUUUAAAGGGUGCGCAGGCGGCCAUUUAAGUCAGCGGUUAAAUCGUGGGGCUCAACCCCAUUCUGCCGUUGAUACUGGGUGGCUUGAUUGCGGUCGAGGUUGGCGGAAUUCGUUGUGUAGCGGUGAAAUGCAUAGAUAUGACGAAGAACACCGAUUGCGUAGGCAGCUGACCAGACCGCAAAUGACGCUCAUGCACGAGAGUGCGGGGAUCGAACAGGAUUAGAUACCCUGGUAGUCCACACAGUAAACGAUGAAUACUUGUUUUCGGCGAUAUAAUGUCGGAGGCAAAGCGAAAGCGAUAAGUAUUCCACCUGGGGAGUACGCCGGCAACGGUGAAACUCAAAGGAAUUGACGGGG
rnacentral:rRNA from 1 species